rnacentral:rRNA from 1 species
GACGAACGCUGGCGGCGUGCUUAACACAUGCAAGUCGAACGGAGUGGCGAACGGGUGAGUAACCCGUUGGUGACCUGCUCUGCAACUCGGGCUAAGCCUGGGAAACUGGCUCUAAUACCGGAUAGUGUGGGAUGGGCGCGCGGCCUAUCAGCUUGUUGGCGGGGUAAUGGCCUACUAAGGGGGCGACGGGGAGCCGGCCUGAGCGGGGGGACGGCCACAUGAGGACUGAGAGACGGCGCAGACUCCUACGGGAGGCAGCAGUGGGGAAUAUUGCACAAUGGGCGGAAGUGUGAUGCGGCGACGCCGCGUGUGGGAUGACGGCCUUCGGGUUGUAAACUCCUUUCACCAUCGACGCGGUAGAUGGAGAAGAAGCACCGGCUAACUACGUGCCAGCAGCCGCGGUAAUAC